AACGAACGCUGGCGGCAGGCCUAACACAUGCAAGUCGAACGCCGUAGCAAUACGGAGUGGCAGACGGGUGAGUAACGCGUGGGAACCUUCCCUAUGGUUCGGAAUAGCUCAGGGAAACCUGGGGUAAUACCGGAUAAGCCCUUCGGGGGGAAAGAUUUAUCGCCAUUGGAUGGGCCCGCGUCGGAUUAGCUAGUUGGUGGGGUAACGGCCUACCAAGGCGACGAUCCGUAGCUGGUCUGAGAGGAUGAUCAGCCACACUGGGACUGAGACACGGCCCAGACUCCUACGGGAGGCAGCAGUGGGGAAUAUUGGACAAUGGGCGAAAGCCUGAUCCAGCCAUGCCGCGUGAGUGACGAAGGCCUUAGGGUUGUAAAGCUCAUUUGCCGGGGAAGAUAAUGACGGUACCCGGAGAAUAAGUCCCGGCUAACUUCGUGCCAGCAGCCGCAGUAA
rnacentral:rRNA from 1 species